GAUGAACGCUGGCGGCGUGCUUAACACAUGCAAGUCGAACGAGAAGUGGAGACGGAAACCUUCGGGCGGAAGACUUUACUUCGAGUGGCGGACGGGUGAGUAACGCGUGGGUAACCUGCCUCAUACAGGGGGAUAACAGUUGGAAACGACUGUUAAUACCGCAUAAGACCACAGCACCGCAUGGUGCGGGGGUAAAAACUCCGGUGGUAUGAGAUGGACCCGCGUUCGAUUAGCCAGUUGGCGGGGUAACGGCCCACCAAAGCGACGAUCGAUAGCCGAUCUGAGAGGAUGACCGGCCACAUUGGGACUGAGACACGGCCCAAACUCCUACGGGAGGCAGCAGUGGGGAAUAUUGCACAAUGGGGGAAACCCUGAUGCAGCGACGCCGCGUGAGUGAAGAAGUAUUUCGGUAUGUAAAGCUCUAUCAGCAGGGAAGAAAAUGACAGUACCUGAGUAAGAAGCCCCGGCUAACUACGU
rnacentral:rRNA from 1 species